rnacentral:rRNA from 1 species
UACGUAGGGGGCAAGCGUUGUCCGGAAUCAUUGGGCGUAAAGCGCGUGUAGGCGGCCCGGUAAGUCCGCUGUGAAAGUCGGGGGCUCAACCCUCGAAUGCCGGUUGAUACUGUCGGGCUAGAGUCCGGAAGAGGCGAGUGGAAUUCCCGGUGUAGCGGUGAAAUGCGCAGAUAUCAGGAGGAACACCAGUAGCGAAGGCGGCACUCUGGGCCGGUACUGACGCUGAGGAGCGAAAGCGUGGGGAGCGAACAGG